CUCAGAAACUACAAAGGAAGUUGACGGGGGCCCGCGACAAGCGGUGGAGCAUGUGGUUUAAUUCGAUGAUACGCGAGGAACCUUACCUGGGCUCAAAUGUAUGUUGACGUAUUCUGAAAGGGAUACUUCUUCGGACAAUAUACAAGGUGCUGCAUGGUUGUCGUCAGCUCGUGCCGUGAGGUGUCGGGUUAAGUCCCAUAACGAGCGCAACCCCUAUCAUUAGUUGCCAUCAGGUCAAGCUGGGGACUCUAAUGAAACUGCCUACGCAAGUAGUGAGGAAGGUGGGGAUGACGUCAAAUCAGCACGGCCCUUACGUCCAGGGCUACACACGUGCUACAAUGGCCGGUACAAAGGGCAGCUACCUGGUGACAGGAUGCUAAUCUCAAAAGCCGGUCUCAGCUCGGAUCGGAGUCUGCAACCCGACUCCGUGAAGUUGGAUUCGCUAGUAAUCGCGCAUCAGCCAUGGCGCGGUGAAUACGUUCCCGGGCCUU
rnacentral:rRNA from 1 species